CGUAGGGUGCGAGCGUUAAUCGGAAUUACUGGGCGUAAAGCGUGCGCAGGCGGUUUUGUAAGACAGGCGUGAAAUCCCCGGGCUCAACCUGGGAACUGCGCUUGUGACUGCAAGGCUAGAGUACGGCAGAGGGGGGUGGAAUUCCACGUGUAGCAGUGAAAUGCGUAGAGAUGUGGGGGAACACCAAUGGCGAAGGCAGCCCCCUGGGUCGAUACUGACGCUCAUGCACGAAAGCGUGGGUAGCAAGCAGGAUUAGAUACCCUGGUAGUCCACGCCCUAAACGAUGUCAACUAGGUGUUGGGUGGGUAAAACCAUUUAGUACCGGAGCUAACGCGUGAAGUUGACCGCCUGGGGAGUACGGCCGCAAGGUUA
rnacentral:rRNA from 1 species